rnacentral:rRNA from 1 species
GACGAACGCUGGCGGCGUGCUUAACACAUGCAAGUCGAGCGGUAAGGCCCUUUCGGGGGGUACACGAGCGGCGAACGGGUGAGUAACACGUGGGUGACCUGCCCUUAGCUCUGGGAUAAGCCUGGGAAACUGGGUCUAAUACCGGAUAUGACUCCAUGACGCAUGUUGUGGGGUGGAAAGCCUUGUGCGGCUAGGGAUGGGCCCGCGGCCUAUCAGCUUGUUGGUGGGGUGANGGCCUACCAAGGCGACGACGGGUAGCCGGCCUGAGAGGGCGACCGGCCACACUGGGACUGAGACACGGCCCAGACUCCUACGGGAGGCAGCAGUGGGGAAUCUUGCGCAAUGGGCGAAAAGCCUGACGCAGCGGCGCCGCGUGGGGAUGACGGCCUGGUGUAAC